ACACGACUACAUUAGAUACCCCUCGUAGUCCCAGCCCUAAACGAUGCGCGUUAGGUGUAUCGGUGACCACGAGUCACCGAGGUGCCGAAGGGAAACCGUGAAACGUGCCGCCUGGGAAGUACGGUCGCAAGGCUGAAACUUAAAGGAAUUGGCGGGGGAGCACCACAACGCGUGGAGCCUGCGGUUUAAUUGGAUUCAACGCCGGACAUCCCACCAGGGGCGACAGCAGAAUGAUGGCCAGGUUGAUGACCUUGCUUGACAAGCUG
rnacentral:rRNA from 1 species